AAGGCUUGACAUACACCGUGACACUGCAGAAAUGUGGUGGCCUUCGGGGCGGUGUACAGGUGGUGCAUGGUUGUCGUCAGCUCGUGUCGUGAGAUGUUGGGUUAAGUCCCGCAACGAGCGCAACCCUUGCCUCAUGUUGCCAGCACUUCGGGUGGGGACUCGUGAGGAACUGCCGGGGUUAACUCGGAGGAAGGUGGGGAUGACGUCAAAUCAUCAUGCCCCUUAUGUCUUGGGCUUCACGCAUGCUACAAUGGCCAGUACAGAGGGUUGCAAUCCCGUAAGGGGGAGCUAAUCUCUUAAAGCUGGUCUCAGUUCGGAUCGGGGUCUGCAACUCGACCCCGUGAAGGUGGAGUCGCUAGUAAUCGCAGAUCAGCAACGCUGCGGUGAAUACGUUCUCGGGCC
rnacentral:rRNA from 1 species